rnacentral:rRNA from 1 species
GACGAAGGGGGCUAGCGUUGUUCGGAAUUACUGGGCGUAAAGCGCGUGUAGGCGGUUGCCCAAGUCGGGUGUGAAAGCCUUGAGCUCAACUCAAGAAAUGCACUCGGUACUGGGUGACUAGAGGACCGGAGAGGAUAGUGGAAUUCCCAGUGUAGUGGUGAAAUACGUAGAGAUUGGGAAGAACACCAGUGGCGAAGGCGGCUAUCUGGACGGUUUCUGACGCUAAGACGCGAAAGCGUGGGGAGCAAACAUG